CUACAGGGUUUGACUCCCUAGAACACUUCUAUCAAACAAAGCCGAAACGGGGAGGACAGAGAGAUAUUUUAUUCCUGAAGAAGGGAGCAUAUGGCUCUAAUUGUUGCUGACAGAUACCUGGAGAACUCCAACAUGGAUAAUGACACAGCUGUAAGAAUCAUUUUAAAAAGUAGAGCCGGAAACUCAAUGGGACCAUACCUGAAGCCUGCAUUCCUUAGACUUAAUCAGUUCAAGACAGCACAAAGCCUAUAUUUUUAUGGAUACUUCUGAAUCAGAACAAGGAACCCACGAAGGUCUAUAAAUCCAGUCUGCAUUAAACUAGUAACUCCAAAUCUUAGAAUACACUAGUCUACCAAAUAAAGUCCAACUUUUUAAAUUAUUUAAGCUCCUUGGGAAGCUGGCUUUAUCCAUACAGCUAACUAUUCUCCAGUGAUAACCCUCCAUGCUUCAUUUUAAGUGUUCUACUAAAUCUUCCCUGAAUGUCUUAGAAAUGUGCAUUCUUUUGGUUUCGUCUUGUUGCUUCUCUGUGCUUAGAAGGCCCUCUCCUAAGGCUAUCUAAAUGUUAACCAUGCUUCAAGAUCCAGUUCAAAUCCCUUUUUCUCCAUUAGUCAUUCUCUUACUACUACUUUUAGGAAGAUUCUUUCAUGGCCAUUGCGAAUAAACUGCUUCUGAGGAUAUCUACCUAAUAUAUUGUGUUACUUUUGUAUUGUUAAAAAUUCUUCUUUGCUGUAAAUUUAUUAACCUAACUUUUUUUUGCCAUGUCAAGAGUGAAUCAUAUCAUAGUUUUCCUUAAGUGGAAAUUAUAGUCUUAUAGAAAGACGACAUAUUGUUUUGCUAACAUGUUAGAGGAUCCCAUACAGAAAAAACAGGAACGUGAAAAUAAUAAAUCUUACAAUGUAAAUUAUCUUAUUUUGAUGUAUCCUUUAAAAUUAACUAUCUCAUUUUCUUGUUGUAAUGGCCAAAAGAUUCCUUUGUGAGGAACCUAAUAAGAACAUAUUUUGGAACUGCACAGCAAUUGUGGAACAAGAGAAAAUUUGAAAUGUAUUUAAUCACACUACAUUUCCAACACUUUGUUUCAGAGUAAAUAUAGGCAUCUCAACCUCAAAUAAAAUUCAUGUGCAUUAGGGUAUUUGCAAAAUUAACUGCAUGGGAUAAUACACCAAUAUAAAUUCAAUUUCCUUUUCCAAUUUCACUGAUUGCACCUCUUACAGUAAACACAUAGCUGGUCAAUUUCUCAUCAGGAAACACGAAUUGGCACUCUGUUUCGAAGGUGACAAACAAUCUUUCACCUUUCAACCUUCAAUAAGAAAAUGAAAUUU
rnacentral:lncRNA from 1 species